GGAUCCUGUAAAUGAUAAAUAAGUAUUUAGGUGCAAAGAAUAUUAUAUAUGAUCAUUGAUCACUACAUUAUUCUGUACUUUUUUGCAUAGUGCCUAUGGAAUAGCAAUCUCCAUCUAAAGCAAUUAAUUAAUAAGAAAAAAUCAGAUAAAUAAACAGAAUAAACAAAUCUUGCCAUUUACAGGAUCCAAUAAGGAAUAUGUGAGUCGUGAAGCAAUUAAAUCAAUUAUUCAAGUUCUAAAAACUGCUAUACAGGAAAGAGAUGAAGCCAAAAUUACCUCAACGGACAACAGAAUAUGAUUUUGCCUUUAACUUCUUCGGCGAAAAAUUUACCUGUGCUUCCUCAAUCCCCACGUUCAGGUCGAUAGCCUGCUUGGCCACUUUUAAAACCUAGCAAAUUUAAUUCAAGUCUCGAAAAAAGAUUGACGAAAAAAUGAAUGAGUACUUCAGAUUUUCGGCAAGAGAUUAAUGGGAAAUAUGAAUCGUCGUAUAGGGUAUAGAGAUAAUUCUUUUGGUGAAGAAUGAAGAUUAUUGCCGAUUGAAGUCUCAGAGUCUAGAGAAAAAACAUGUCUCUUGACUCUCUGCCUUUCCUCCAUUUUAAGGAUACAAUUCUUAAAAACAUCUCCAGUAGUGAAUGUUUUGCUCUUCUUUUAAAAUCCACAUGCUCAAACAUGGCGUCAUACUUCAAUUUUGGCUGGCCACCUAAAAUAGAAGAUGUAGAGCAGAAGUAGACACAGCUUGAAUGCACAAAUAGAAGCUUUGAGGGUUAGGGUAGGAGAGAUUUGAUGCUGAGUGGAG
rnacentral:lncRNA from 1 species